rnacentral:lncRNA from 1 species
CUCUCAACCAUGUCGCCCUGUUCACCCAGAACAGAAAUGCUGGCAGCUGACAUGGACAAGUGAGAUGAGACACAUGUCUCCGGGAUGACCCGUGGACUCCUCUGCCUGUCGCUGCCAUUUUCAACCCUGCUGCCUCUCCCCUCCCCGCUCUGUUUUCCUCUGUCUUCCUCUCUCCCUCCCUCCUCCUCCUUCUCUCCCCACCCCACUCUCUUCGAAGGAGAAUUAUAUUCAGCUCUGUGGGUUGUUUUUAAUGCAUUCCAGAUGCCAGAAGAAAUCUUGGCCUGGGCUCAGCGUUCUUCUGACUUCAGGCCUCUCCCCCACCUACCGCCCUGUCUGACUCCCAAGGCCACAAGGAAAAAAAAUCAGCUCCUGGUGUUUGGUGACACAGAAGGAGCAGGCAGGGCAGAUCGAAGGCAUAAGUGGAGUCCUGUGGUUUCUGAACAGGCCAAGAUCCACUUGAAUAAGAAAUGAAAAACCGAGGAGAUUGUUGAAGAGCACAGGUGUUUCUCUAGAAGGACUAAAACCUAGAAAUUAAUUCAAUUGGCAUGUCGAGGGGAGAAGAGGAGAAGAACUGCUACUCCUUUGAAUCAAUCAUGCAUAGGCUGUUGUUACUAUAACAAAAAUGACUGAGGCUGGGUACUUAAAAGGAAAAGGUUUAUCUCACAACUUUGGAGACUGGAAAUUCAAACAGCAUAGCAUCUGCUCAGAUGAGAGACUCCCUUGUCUUCAGUACCUCAUGGGGAAAAACAUGCAAAAGGGAGAGCAUGCAUGGCCAUAUAGGAAGCCAGAGCAAAGGAGAGACCAGUCUGAGGACCGCCUAAGUAUCACCUUCUAAAGAUACCAACAUGUCCCCAUCACCACACCAGGAACCCAGCUUCUAGCACAUGGACCUUUGGGCAAGCCACACCCAACACCAUAUCGACAUUCAGUGCAAGUCAGUUCUCAGGGUGGACGAGGGGAUAGUAAGACAAUACUUGGUCCCACGCCUUUUAUGCUCUUGUUAGAAUAAAUGUGUCCCAUCGUGCAGG